GACAGAGGGGGCAAGCGUUGCUCGGAAUCACUGGGCGUAAAGCGCACGUAGGCGGAUUGUUAAGUCAGGGGUGAAAUCCUGGAGCUCAACUCCAGAACUGCCUUUGAUACUGGCGAUCUCGAGUCCGGGAGAGGUGAGUGGAACUCCGAGUGUAGAGGUGAAAUUCGUAGAUAUUCGGAAGAACACCAGUGGCGAAGGCGGCUCACUGGCCCGGUACUGACGCUGAGGUGCGAAAGCGUGGGGAGCAAACAGG
rnacentral:rRNA from 1 species